AUGUCAUGUAUCUUAUUUCCCACAGCUGUAGGUAAAGAUGAUCAGGUGAAAAAGGAUGAUGCCUCUGGCCAGGAACAGAACGCCCUCUUUGGAUGGGGGAAGAAGAAGGACAAAGAUGGGGAUAAGGACAAGAGUGCAUCCAAGGACAAAGUCAAAUCAAAGGACCGCAAGGACAGUGACAAAUCGAAGGACCAUAAGGAGGACAAAGACAAGUCUAAGGAACAUAAGGACAAGAAACAUUGUGACAAGAAGGACAAAGGUCAUAAGAAGAAGAAAGACAAGAAGCCCAAAGAGCAUCAGGACAAAGAUGAUGGGUCUUCUUCUUCUUCCUCCUCGUCCAGCAGCGAUGAGGUAGUGUACAUUUAGCCUUGAUUUGUUCAGUGUUUUUAUUUUUUUAUUUUUUUAUGUUUUAUUAUUCUUCCAAAGAAUGUUCAUGUAUGACUGCUAUAGAAUGUGGUCCAACAAGCCGUGUUGACAACCACACCAUUAGUUCAAGGGUUCCUUACUAUCAACAUGGGUAAGGCCAUAGAGGCUGUACAGGACAUACCAACUGUUGUAGUUUUAUCAGGCUAAAUGUCCUAGUUAUGUACGAGUGGUUGGCGUUGUCAUUUACAACACUUGAGACUCAGAACUUUUACUAUCAAAUGCGGUUCAGUGCACUUUAUCAGCUAGUAAAACAAUUUUCGAAACAGUUAUCUCCUUCGCAGUCUUUAUUCCUGCUGCAUAGCUAUUUGUUGUUGAUAGGUACAUGGACAAGACAGUAAGACUCAUCAGACAUUUUAUAACCUCGGUCAUGUCUUACUUUUUAUGCAAACUAGGCUGACGUAAAAGAGAAAAUGGACAUGACUGCUCUGAGUUACUAGGUGUGUCUGUGAAUACAGAUCAGAUAGGAGCGCAAUGAAAAUGUGUUACCUGCCCUACAGUCACAUAUCAGGGCCUGACUGCAUAUUUCACCCAAAACAAGUGUUAUUAUUAGUACAUGUAAUGGUUCCCACUGGCACCUUGAUAUUGUCAUAAUCGCUAGGGUUUUAUGGCUUAUCUUUUAUUAAAUGUAUGUCUUUUGUCAUUUUAGGAUGAAGGCAAGAAUAAGCAUCACUGAUUCUGGUGCUGUGAGGAAGUGCUACUGCCAGUUAACCCUGAUCUCAAUGUUUUCUACUGCAGUGUUGAUGCAUGAUAUUUACUGUGUACCGUUUCCUUGUUGUUCCUGACUAUAUUUUGAUGUGCCAGACUGUAAAGUAGUGUGUUUUACAACAGAACAUUAAACACGACAACCAGGGUAUAUGGUGAAUGUCAAGACUUUUUUUUUUUUUUCAGACAUCUUUCCUCCCUAGUGAAAAGUCUAAAGUCCACCAGAAGGGGGAGGUGUUUUUCAUUUUAAUAUUUGUUUAAUAGAUUGAAUACAAUUGAUUGGCAAACAUUAUGUUCAAGUUUUUUUGAUAAAUUGUCCAGUUCAAAAGAUUGAAUUGCAUUCUUUUUGUUUAUUUUAGCACAAUUUAUGGGAAACUCAAUAUUCUUAGUUUGAAAUAUAAAGCAUAAGGGAGGACAACUACAAAUACCUAGGUGUCUGGUUAGACUGUGAACUCUCCUUCCAGACUCACAUUAAGCAUCUCCAAUCCAGAAUUAAAUCUAGAAAUGGCUUCCUUUUUCGCAACAAAGCAUCCUUCACUCAUGCUGCCAAACAUACCCUCGUAAAACUGACUAUCCUACCGAUCCUUGACUUCGGCGAUGUCAUUUACAAAAUAGCCUCCAACACUCUACUCAGCAAAUUGGAUGCAGUCUAUCACAGUGCCAUCCAUUUUGUCACCAAAGCCCCAUAUACUACCCAUCACUGCAACCUGUAUGCUCUCGUUGGCUGGCCCUCUCUUCAUAUUCGUCGCCAAAACCACUGGCUCCACGUCAUCUAUAAGUCUUUGCUAGGUAAAGCCCCGCCUUAUCUCAGCUCACUGGUCACCAUAGCAGCACCCACCCGUAGCACGCGCUCCACCAGGUAUAUUUCACUGGUCACCCCCAAAGCCAAUUCAUCCAUUGGAUGUCUUUCCUUCCAGUUCUCUGCUGCCAAUGACUGGAACGAACUGCAAAAAUCACUGAAGCUGGAGACUCAUAUCUCCCUCACUAGUUUUAAGCACCAGCUGUCAGAGCAGCUCACAGAUCACUGCACCUGUACAUAGCCCAUCUGUAAAUAGCCCAUCCAACUACCUCAUCCCCCAUACUGUUAUUUAUUUUGCACCCCCAGUAUCUCUAUUUGCACACUCAUCUUCUGUACAUCUAUCACUCCAGUGUUUAAUUGCUAUAUUGUAAUUAUUUCACCACUAUGGCCUAUUUAUUGCCUUAUCCCCCUUAUCCUACCUCAUUUGCACACACUGUAUAUAGACUUUUUCUAUUGUAUUAUUGACUGCAUGUUUGUUUAUUCCAUGUGUAACUCUGUGUUUGUGUCGCACUGCUUUGAUUUAUCUUGGCCAGGUCGCAGUUGUAAAUGAGAACAUGUUCUCAACUAGCCUACCUGGUUAAAUAAAGGUGAGAAGAAAAAAAAAAAAUAUAUAUAUAUAUAUAUAUAUAUAUAUAUAUACCCAAAGGUUUCCUCAACAGGGGAUAGUGUUAAAAGUGGGACAUAGGUACAGUGCAUGUUCAGUACAAACAUAUUGUACUCUGACUAUGCAGUGUGAAGAUAGGAGUCCAUUCCUUGUCUAACCUGAAUUGACCUAGUGAGCAGGUGCACUGGCCUGGAGUAAAUUCAUUCUACAAAACUAGGAAAAGCAAAGCUGCACAAGAUGCAUGACACAGCAAAAGCCAGGCAGUGUUUCCUUAACAUGGCAUCAAUAUUCAAGUGGACGUGAACUCUAACAGGGGUUGUCAGGAAAGAAGAAUUAAAACAUUUAACGUACAUAUCUUGCUCACAUUCUUAAUCUUUUAUAUCGGACGGAAAAAGAACAAUGGAGCGAUUGCAAAAUGUAUCAAUAAUAAAUCAGUGUCUUUGGAUGCUGCCAUUUCUGUAUGGUAACUCCUCUAUCACACUUGGCUGUAUCCCUGUUGGGAUGCAUAGGAGUGGAGAUGAACAGAUGGGCUGUAUAUCUUCCUAGUGAACUUGUCAGCAGAACUGUAGGGUCACUUUUCAUUUAUGCUUUCAUGGUUUAUGAAAUGAACAUGACAGUAGCUUCUAGUAAAAACAAACAAUGGUAUGCUCAUAUGUACGGUGUCGGCUACUGUAUACACUGUCACACUUGUAUUUAAGAAUAACUUGAGUGUUACUGCUUUCUCAAAUCAGAAGGUAGUGACCAGGGGUGCUUUAAGAUCCAGUAUUCAUAAUAUCUGAUAACAUACGCCAGGGUUCUAUAAAAUGGCGGCAGUAUGUCAGAAAUCAAACAGUCUGAAUGGCCUCCGGUAUAAAUAGCUACUCCUUACGUUGCUCAAGUCAGGAGUGACAGACAUAUGCUUUGGAAACCCCUGCCAACAACCCCAGGCAGUACGGAAGCGCUGGCCCUUGUCACGCCUUCUCAUCUCCUCUCAUACAUUUUUAAUGACUCAACAGUCAGAAAAGUUGAAUAAGGGAAAAAAAUUUCAUCAAAUGUUUGUCUACAAAACCUUGACAGAUUUUUAAAAAAAAAGCUGUUUUUUAUAUCUAGAUUUGGCCCAGAAGUGCUCAGGCUUUAUGCCUGCAGUGUUUUUAGUGAAACACAGGGAGUAUUUUGUGCUGAGCUGUGUGUGGUAAGAUCACGUUUUGUUCAAGAGAACACAUUGACAGUUGCCUCCCUUUUGAAAGCUGUUGUUGUGUGUUGCUGGCUUUAUAAUAUGGGCGGUGGUGA
rnacentral:lncRNA from 8 species